ACCAAGCAUUUCUCCUUCACCUCGGCUCAGACAGUUGGGCGGAGAAACCAGCCACUUUGCUUCCAGAAGGUUCUCAGGCUCCAGUUUGAGCACUGUCUCUCACCACCAUUCCCAGCCUCCUGGCCUACUUCCUACCAGCCCUCAUAGGCAUCUGGACCUGAGCCCUCCAGGGUCAAAAUCUCAUUUGAAGAACCAAGGACAGGAACCAAGACCAAAGCCAAAACCUACAUCUCUGAGCCACAGCCAAAUAAACAAGGGAACAGGCUGGGAAUCCUUUCAGGGUUCUUCAACAGCAGGGUAUACCUGACUCUCUCCUCCUGCAGGGAAACUCAAUGGCAGAGUGGACCUGACUCUCUCCUCCUGCAGGGAAACUCAAUGGCAGAGUGGACCUGACUCUCUCCUCCUGCAGGAAUACUGCGGGCCCUGACUUAUAGGAGUCUCUUGGGCUCAAAUUUCCUGUCUUCUCAAACCUUGACUUGCCAUCCCCCUCUCCUCCUCCAAAUGGCAUCCAGAGGAGAAAUCUACAAUCAUUCAAGUGUUCUCAUUUGCUGAUCAAGGGUUCAGCAUAGAAUCACACGUGUGACUAAGAGCAGCUGUCAUGAGUUUCAUACAGCAACACACAUGAGCAAGCAAGCAGUGUGUUGGCAAACAAUGAGAGAGCCAGAAUAUCUAAUGCAAGAAAACGUCUAUGUAACAUGGGCUGGGAGUAGAGAUGUCUGUUAUGAGUGCCUGACCAAGUGCUGUGUCUCCUGGAAGACAAGACUAAUUUUCCAGGUGGGGCAUCCUUUCUGAACUCAUCCUGAAACCCAGGCUUACUUGAAGAUCUUGUGGUAAUAAAGAUCGCUCAUUGCUUAUUUCCCA